rnacentral:rRNA from 1 species
GUGGGGAAUAUUGGGCAAUGGGCGAAAGCCUGACCCAGCAACGCCGCGUGAUUGAAGAAGGCCUUCGGGUUGUAAAGAUCUGUCCUAUGGGACGAAAAAAAUGACGGUACCAUAGGAGGAAGCCCCGGCUAACUACGUGCCAGCAGCCGCGGUAAUACGUAGGGGGCGAGCGUUGUCCGGAAUUACUGGGCGUAAAGGGUGCGCAGGCGGCGCCUUAAGUCAAAUGUGAAAUAUCCAUGCUUAACGUGGAGGGUGCAUUUGAAACUGGGGCGCUUGAGUGCAGGAGAGGAAAGUGGAAUUCCUAGUGUAGCGGUGAAAUGCGUAGAUAUUAGGAGGAACACCAGUGGCGAAGGCGACUUUCUGGACGAUGUCUGACGCUGAGGCGCGAAAGCUAGGGGAGCGAACGGGAUUAGAAACCCGAGUAGUCC